AUCCUACUUGGAUAACUGUGGUAAUUCUAGAGCUAAUACAUGCAUUAAAGCUCCGACCUCACGGGAAGAGUGCAUUUAUUAGAACAAAACCAAGCGGCUUCGGCUGUYUAUGGUUGACUCAUAGUAACUGAGCUGAUCGCAUGGUCUUGUACCGGCGACGUGUCUUUCAAGUAUCUGCCGUAUCAACUUUCGAUGGUAGUGUAUCUGACUACCAUGGUGAUCACGCGUAACGGAGAAUAAGGGUUCGGCUCCGGAGAGUUCGCCUGAGAAAUCGCGAACACAUCUAAGGAAGGCAGCAGGCGCGAAAAUUACCCACUCUCAGCACGAGGAGGUAGUGACGAAAAAUAACGAGACCGUUCUCUUUGAGGCCGGUCAUCGGAAUGGGUACAAUUUAAACCCUUUAACGAGUAUCUAUGAGAGGGCAAGUCUGGUGCCAGCAGCCGCGGUAAUUCCAGCUCUCAAAGUGCAUAGAAUUAUUGCUGCGGUUAAAAAGCUCGUAGUUGGAUCUGUGCCAUAGGACUGGGUCCACUUUCGGGUGCGUACUCAGCUCCUAGGCUUUUUGACGGUUUUCCCGUCGUAGCCUUCACUGGUUGCGGCGGGUGGCUGUCGAGUUUACUUUGAGAAAAUCAGAGUGCUCAAUACAGGCGUAUCGCUUGAAUGAUUGUGCAUGGAAUAAUAGAAAAGGAUUUCGGUCCUCUUUUAUUGGUUUUGUGGACUGAGAUAAUGGUUAACAGGGACAAACGGGGGCAUUCGUAUCGCUGCGUGAGAGGUGAAAUUCUUGGACCGUAGCGAGACGCCCUACUGCGAAAGCAUUUGCCAAGAAUGUCUUCAUUAAUCAAGAA
rnacentral:rRNA from 1 species